rnacentral:rRNA from 1 species
UGGGGAAUAUUGCACAAUGGGCGCAAGCCUGAUGCAGCCAUGCCGCGUGUAUGAAGAAGGCCUUCGGGUUGUAAAGUACUUUCAGCGGGGAGGAAGGGAGUAAAGUUAAUACCUUUGCUCAUUGACGUUACCCGCAGAAGAAGCACCGGCUAACUCCGUGCCAGCAGCCGCGGUAAUACGGAGGGUGCAAGCGUUAAUCGGAAUUACUGGGCGUAAAGCGCACGCAGGCGGUUUGUUAAGUCAGAGGUGAAAUCCCCGGGCUCAACCUGGGAACUGCAUCUGAUACUGGCAAGCUUGAGUCUCGUAGAGGGGGGUAGAAUUCCAGGUGUAGCGGUGAAAUGCGUAGAGGUCUGGAGGAAUACCGGUGGCGAAGGCGGCCCCCUGGACGAAGACUGACGCUCAGGUGCGAAAGCGUGGGGGGCAAACAGG